UUUUGUAUAAUGGGUCAGCGACUUAUAUUCUGUAGCAAGGUUAACCGAAUAGGGGAGCCGAAGGGAAACCGAGUCUUAACUGGGCGUUAAGUUGCAGGGUAUAGACCCGAAACCCGGUGAUCUAGCCAUGGGCAGGUUGAAGGUUGGGUAACACUAACUGGAGGACCGAACCGACUAAUGUUGAAAAAUUAGCGGAUGACUUGUGGCUGGGGGUGAAAGGCCAAUCAAACCGGGAGAUAGCUGGUUCUCCCCGAAAGCU
rnacentral:rRNA from 1 species